UAACAUAAACCCGUAGAUCCGAUCUUGUGGUGAAUUCCUUUGCUCAAGCUCGUUUCUAUGGGUCUGUGUCAU
rfam:Xenopus tropicalis strain Nigerian Chr02_contig_829, whole genome shotgun sequence.